GCCUGAAGCAAAUACAAAGCACAGGACUUCUGAGCAUGGCAAGAGACCGUGAAGCAGCAGCACAGAGCACCAGUGAUAGGAUCUGACUGCCACCUGCAUGCUGUGUAAUGUGUAUCUUCCACAGAAAGAACAUUUUGCAGCUGCAAGAUGUAAGUACGUUAAGCCUAGAAUACCUGGAUGUUCUAAGGUGAGCUCACUGCUUUCUAAGCUGUAAAAAUGCUUAAUCCCUGUGUCACUUUAUAUUAUUUUGUAGUUAAUUUUGCGGUGGGUUGACAAAGGCACAUAACCAGGGGCAGAAUCUGGCCUAUCAUAUUUAUUAGGAUGCGAUUCCUCAACUAGACACUAUGGCCUCAUAAGGGCACAUCCUCUGCUUUGUUUUUAGUUCUGAAAUGUGAGGGAGUAGACCUUGUGUUACAAAGCAAUAAUUGCCAACUGUGUGACAAUUCUGUGUGAGAUACAUUAUUAUAACCUGCAGAUGCUACGACCAGUAUGAUUUAAGAACUUUGAACAAACCCAACUGACCAUUUAGCAAUAUAUUUUUGUCUGACUUUUUUGACUGAAACAUAGAUGGAAAGCUCUUUGGAGCAGGAAAUCAUCUCUUAUUUGAUAAUUAUAUGAAGCUCUGUUCCUAACUAAUGUUCUACUGAAAAUUUAUUAUAUUGUUUAAUGAUUUUUUAAAAACAGAAUAGUGCAAACACUGUUCAUAGCUUAUAUUAAGUUCUGAGGCUUAUUAAUUCUUGUUUAUACAUACCUUUCUUCUCUCUAAUUUUCUUCUUGUCUACAGUCACUUUUCUUUCAUCUUCGGUUAUUUUACCUCAUUAACUUUUUCUUCUUUUGCAGAAGCAGUAGAUUCUGCUCUGCUCAAAGGCAAACCUUUCUGCUGUGGUUUGCAGGGGACUGUUGCCAUGUAGGUCUUCACUUCCUGCUCAUUGUGUCUUUUGGUGCUUCUUGCAAUAAACUAAGGAUUAUGAUAUUCUUUAGUCAACUUUGUUUUUGUCUUUUGCAGUCCUUCGCUGCUAAGUAAGAAAGCCAAGAUUCUUUCACAAGCUCAAGAAGCAUAUUGCUGCUUUCCAAUAGCUUCCCUUCAUGUUCUUUUUCCUCAUUCUUCUGAAGAAUUUCUGCCUGAAGCACAGCUACAUUACACUCAUAAAACAGAUCAAGGUAUCAGCAUUCUCCAGUACUCCAACCACUCCAAUCACUGCUGUGUGAACAGCUGCGAGUGCAUUUUUUUAAUAUUUGCAACUAAAAAUACUUCUAUGCUUAAAAGUGUCUAGUUCUGCAAGCCUUCCUUGGCCAGGACACUUCUCAAAUAUUCAGUGAAAUUCUAAGCACAGUAGGACUCCAAAUUGAAAAUCAAAAUCUUGGGAAUGUACUUCAGGGGGUAAGAAACCAAAGCAAUAAAUAAACUUUGAGGGAAAAAAAUCCUUUUUGG
rnacentral:lncRNA from 1 species